rnacentral:rRNA from 1 species
UUGGUGAGGUAACGGCUCACCAAGGCGACGAUGCGUAGCCGACCUGAGAGGGUGAUCGGCCACAUUGGAACUGAGACACGGUCCAGACUCCUACGGGAGGCAGCAGUGGGGAAUAUUGCGCAAUGGGGGAAACCCUGACGCAGCAACGCCGCGUGAGUGAUGAAGGUCUUCGGAUUGUAAAACUCUGUCUUCAGGGACGAUAAUGACGGUACCUGAGGAGGAAGCCACGGCUAACUACGUGCCAGCAGCCGCGGUAAUACGUAGGUGGCAAGCGUUGUCCG